rnacentral:rRNA from 1 species
CCUACGGGCGGCACCAGUGGGGAAUAUUGGACAAUGGGCGAAAGCCUGAUCCAGCCAUGCCGCGUGAGUGAUGACGGCCUUAGGGUUGUAAAGCUCUUUCGGCGGGGAAGAUAAUGACGGUACCCGCAGAAGAAGCCCCGGCUAACUUCGUGCCAGCAGCCGCGGUAAAACGAAGGGGGCUAGCGUUGUUCGGAAUCACUGGGCGUAUAGCGCACGUAGGCGGAUCGUUAAGUCGGGGGUGAAAUCCCUCGGCUUAACCGAGGAACUGCGUCCGAUACUGCGUGGCUCGAGUCCCGGAGAGGGUAGCGGAAUUCCCAGUGUAGCGGUGAAAUGCGUAGAUAUUGGGAGGAACACCAGUGGCGAAGGCGGCUACCUGGACGGGUACUGACGCUGAGGCGCGAAAGCUAGGGGAGCAAACAGGAUUAGAUACCCUAGUAGUC